rnacentral:rRNA from 1 species
AGAGUUUGAUCCUGGCUCAGAGCGAACGCUGGCGGCAGGCUUAACACAUGCAAGUCGAGCGGGCGUAGCAAUACGUCAGCGGCAGACGGGUGAGUAACGCGUGGGAACGUACCUUUUGGUUCGGAACAACACAGGGAAACUUGUGCUAAUACCGGAUAAGCCCUUACGGGGAAAGAUUUAUCGCCGAAAGAUCGGCCCGCGUCUGAUUAGCUAGUUGGUAGGGUAAUGGCCUACCAAGGCGACGAUCAGUAGCUGGUCUGAGAGGAUGAUCAGCCACAUUGGGACUGAGACACGGCCCAAACUCCUACGGGAGGCAGCAGUGGGGAAUAUUGGACAAUGGGGGCAACCCUGAUCCAGCCAUGCCGCGUGAGUGAUGAAGGCCCUAGGGUUGUAAAGCUCUUUUGUGCGGGAAGAUAAUGACGGUACCGCAAGAAUAAGCCCCGGCUAACUUCGUGCCAGCAGCCGCGGUAAUACGAAGGGGGCUAGCGUUGCUCGGAAUCACUGGGCGUAAAGGGUGCGUAGGCGGGUUUUUAAGUCAGGGGUGAAAUCCUGGAGCUCAACUCCAGAACUGCCUUUGAUACUGAAGAUCUUGAGUCCGGGAGAGGUGAGUGGAACUGCGAGUGUAGAGGUGAAAUUCGUAGAUAUUCGCGAACCCGUGGCGAAGGCGNNNNCACUGGCCCGGUACUGACGCUGAGGCACGAAAGCGUGGGGACAAACAGGAUUAGAUACCCUAGUAGUCC